rnacentral:piRNA from 1 species
CCUCAGCCUGCUGUGCCUCUUCAUUGCCAG